UUAAAAAAAUAUAUAUCAAAAAUGAUUAAGUCAAAGUGCCGGGCAUUAAUAUUAAUUUUUUGAAUAGCCUACAUAGGAUGCUAUUUACAUUUUUCAGGGAGUCAGAAGGUGUUAAUAUAACAAAAAUCUGGAAGCAUACGUCCUUAACUUUGGACCAUUUUCUGAUGAGGAUGAAAUAAAAGUAAAACGAAAAAUUCGUCGGCUGAAGUCUGAAAUUGUAGUAUCAAAAUGGAAAAAGUCACAUACUAUAUGGGAUAAAUUCGAAAAGUAUAACAAAGGAUGGCUGAAUGGAAUCAUUUCACUUCCUAAACCUCUGAGCUCGUCCUCUCAAAGAGUUGGCCGUCCAAAAACAAAAUUCUAUGAUUCGAGUGAAAGAACCAAGAGAAGAGAAACGGAAACUUUGAGAAGAGACAAUGACCUGGAAGAACUUACUUUUGCAACUCAAGUAAAAUUAGCUAAUGAAGGGAAACGUGAUGCUUCUCUCGUGCUGAAAGAAAUCACUUCUACACCCAAACGAGCCACUGCCUAUAAAAAAGCGUUCAAUGCAAGUAAAUCCAAAGAGAAGGUACAACUAACACCGCAACAAGCGUUAUCAAUAUUCAUCGAAGCAGACUUAUCAAAGAGGCAGUACGAAAUCAUAAGAAGUGAUAAUCCAUUUAUGUAUCCAUGCUGCAGUAAGAUCCAAGAAGUCAAAAAAGAGUGUUACCCCGACAAAGAAUCUAUUACUGUCACCGAAACUUUAGCAGACAUUAAGCUUCAGAAUUUUAUGGAUCACACUGUAUCCAGAUUACGAAGUAGUUAAAACGCUUGACGAAGAAGAAAGAAAUGCCUUGGAAUUCAUAUGUAAAUGGGGAUGCGAUGGAGCGCAACAAGCGCAAUUCAAACAAAAAUUUGUAUGUGACUCCGACACGGACGUCACUUGUCCCUUUACGGCUUAUUUGUUCCUUAAAUGGAAAAAUACCAUGGUAGAAUCCCACUCCAUAACGAGGAUAUCCUCGUUAUUGCCGCCCUAUCAGGCUGAGAUUUAUAAAAGAAACCGCAGAUGUGACAAGAGAAGAAAUAUCAUAUAUCAAAGAUGCUUCAAAAAAUUUGAACAAAACGAAAGUUCAAAUGAAAGAAAAUAUUGCUUGCGAGGUAUCGCAUACAAUGAUGUUGAACACGGUCGAUGGAAAGGUGUGCAACUCUAUGACAAGCGCAUCAUUUACAAUGAGGUGCUUCAUAUGUGGCUUAACUUCAAAGGAUUUUAACUGUAUCCAAAAAAAGGGGACAGUUAAUGUGGAAACUUUUGAGUUUGGUUUAACUAUUCUUCAUGCCCGAAUACGAUUUUUUUGAAGCUGUUUUACAUUUGCCCUAUAAACUACCAGUACAAAAGUGGCAGCUCAGAAGCGAUGAAGAAAAAGAAAAAGUCAAACUCAGGAAACUCGCAAUCCAAAGCGAAUUUAAGUCAAUGAUGGGUCUCAGUGUAGAUGUCCCAAAGGUAAAUGUCGACAACAUGAAUGACGGCAAUACUAGUAGACGAUUUUAUGCAUACCACGAACUGUCUGCAGAAAUUACUGGUAUAGACGCGACAUUUAUCUAUCGCCUGAAAAUUAUUCUAAACGGCAGAACUUUAUAUCCACUAUAUCCUUGGCAUCCGAUGACCCCCACGCUCCACAAAAUACUUAUCCAUGGGCCUCGAGUGAUAAGACAUGCUUUGCUGCCAAUCGGACAACUGUCUGAGGAGGCUGCUGAAGCCAGGAACAAAUACAUACGCCUCUAUCGCCAAAACUUCGCAAGAAAAUUUUCUCGACAAGAAUGUAACGCGGAAAUAUUAAACAGACUUCUUCUAAACUCGGAUCCUGUAAUGACGGGAAUGAGACCGAGAAGAAGAAAGUUGUCAGAACCUUUCUCAAAAGACAUCAUAUCAAUGCUACAGUCGACUGUAUUUAAUUAGUAUUGACUGUAGUAUUAUUUUGCAGUGUUUACUGUAGGUAGUAUUGACUGUAUUAAUUGUCAUCAUGUUAGAAACAUGAUUACAAACCAAAAAUAAUUUUGGCCGCCCAGAUUGAUGAAAUGUUCCUAUGUGCGACGGUAGCAUAA
rnacentral:lncRNA from 1 species